rnacentral:rRNA from 1 species
AUUGAACGCUGGCGGCAUGCCUUACACAUGCAAGUCGAACGGUAACGGGCCUUCGGGUGCCGACGAGUGGCGAACGGGUGAGUAAUGCAUCGGAACGUACCCAUCAGUGGGGGAUAACUCUCCGAAAGGAGGGCUAAUACCGCAUAUUCUGUGCGCAGGAAAGCGGGGGACCGCAAGGCCUCGUGCUGAUGGAGCGGCCGAUGUCAGAUUAGCUAGUUGGUGGGGUAAAGGCCUACCAAGGCGACGAUCUGUAGCGGGUCUGAGAGGAUGAUCCGCCACACUGGGACUGAGACACGGCCCAGACUCCUACGGGAGGCAGCAGUGGGGAAUUUUGGACAAUGGGGGCAACCCUGAUCCAGCCAUGCCGCGAGAGUGAAGAAGGCCUUCGGGUUGUAAAGCUCUUUCGGCCGGGAAGAAAUCGCAUCUCCUAAUACGGGGUGUGGAUGACGGUACCGGAAUAAGAAGCACCGGCUAACUACGUGCCAGCAGCCGCCGUAA